rnacentral:rRNA from 1 species
AGAGUUUGAUCUGGCUCAGGACAACGCUGGCGGCGUGCUUAACACAUGCAAGUCGUACGGAGCUGCAGGACGGAAUCCUUCGGGAGGAAGAACGGCAGCUUAGUGGCGGACGGGUGAGUAACGCGUGAGCAACCUGCCCGAUAAGAGGGGGGAUAACAGUUGGAAACGACUGCUAAUACCGCAUAAGACCGACAACACCGCAUGGUGGAGGGGUCAAAGAGGAAUCGCUUAUGGAUGGGCUCGCGUCCCAUUAGGUAGUUGGCAGGAUAACAGCCUACCAAGCCGACGAUGGGUAGCCGACCUGAGAGGGUGAUCGGCCACACUGGAACUGAGACACGGUCCAGACUCCUACGGGAGGCAGCAGUGGGGAAUAUUGGGCAAUGGGCGCAAGCCUGACCCAAGCAACGCCGCGUGAGUGAAGAAGGCCUUUGGGUUGUAAAACUCUGUUCUAUGGGAAGAAGGAAGUGACGGUACCAUAGGAGAAAGCUCCGGCUAACUACGUGCCAGCAGCUGC